rnacentral:rRNA from 1 species
AAAUCAGAACGCUUAAAGUAAGGAAUUCAAUACUUGAAUGACUUUGCGCAGUAUGAAAUUUUUACUAUUAACUUAAUUUUUUAAAUUAAUAGUAAGCUCAAGGAGAAUAAUCGGGGGUAGAUCUAUUUCAUGGCGAACGGCGAAAUGUUUUGACCCAUGAGAGAGAAACUAAGGCUAAGGCAUCUACCAAGUGUAUUUCUAUCGAUCAAGGGCGAUAGUAGGAAUAUCAAACCGGAUCAGAGACCCGGGUAGUUCCUACCAUAAACUAUGCCGACAAUAGCUUAUUAACAUUCUAUGAAGUUAGUAGGAUAAUUAGAGAAAUCAUAGUUCAUGGGCUCUGGGGGAACUACGACCGCAAGGCUGAAACUUGAAGGAAUUGACGGAAGGGCACACCAGGGGUGGAGCUUGUGGCUUAAUUUGAAUCAACACGGGAAAACUUACCAGUACCAGAUAUUUUUUAAGACUGAUCAGGAUAAAGUUCUUUCAGGAUAUAAUUUUUGGGGGUGCAUGGC